ensembl:snoRNA SNORA70 Small nucleolar RNA SNORA70
CUUAAAAGUAAGUUCAGCUGAUUUCUUUCCUUACUGGAGCCGGUUAUACAGUGACUGCCAAGAACAGCCUCCUUGGUGACGCACACAGAUUGUUGCUUGAAUGGGUUACCCUAAAGGACUUAGGAGAUGAGC